rnacentral:rRNA from 1 species
ACAGAGGUGGCAAGCGUUGUUCGGAUUUACUGGGCGUAAAGGGCGCGUAGGCGGUCCCGUGUGUCGAGUGUGAAAUCUCCGGGCUCAACCCGGAAAGUGCGCUCGAAACUGCGGAACUUGAGCACAGGAGGGGAGAGCGGAAUUCAAGGUGUAGCGGUGAAAUGCGUUGAUAUCUUGAAGAACACCGGUGGCGAAGGCGGCUCUCUGGAAUGUUGCUGACGCUGAGGCGCGAAAGUUGGGGGAGCAAACAG